rnacentral:rRNA from 1 species
UUACGCUGUUAUCCCUAAGGUAACUUUUUCUUUUGCUCAGAAACUUCUGGGUCCAUUAGACUCAAAUCAUUAUAUUAAUCCCCUGUUAUAAAAGAGGGGAGGUUGCCCCAACCAAACCUAGGUAAAGCUCUAUAGGGUCUUCUUGUCCCACUUACUAAUUAAGGUCUCUUCACCUUAAAAUCAAUUUCGAGUUAAAUAAAGAGAGACAGUCUCUCUGUCGUCUAGCCGUUGAUACUAGCCUGCAAUUAACAGGCGAAUGAUUAUGCUACCUUUGCACAGUCAGUAAUACUGCAGCCGUUUAACUAUUGUCACCG